UUGCAAUAGCGAUAGAAACGGCCAUCCUUUUGUUUUUAUUGGAUUUAGCUAAGGCCAAAACAAAAGAUAAUAGUGGAUAGCGCAACCCUGG
rnacentral:sRNA from 1 species